rnacentral:rRNA from 1 species
AUUGAACGCUGGCGGCAGGCUUAACACAUGCAAGUCGAGCGGAGUUUUGGUGCUUGCACCAAGACUUAGCGGCGGACGGGUGAGUAAUGCUUAGGAAUUUGCCUAUUAGUGGGGGACAACGUUUUGAAAGGAACGCUAAUACCGCAUACGUCCUACGGGAGAAAGCAGGGGAUUUUUGGACCCUGCGCUAAUAGAUGAGCCUAAGUUGGAUUAGCUAGUUGGUGGGGUAAAGGCCUACCAAGGCGACGAUUUGUAGCGGGUUUGAGAGGAUGAUUCGCCCCCCUGGGACUGAGACCCGGCCCCGACUCCUACGGGAGGCAGCAGUGGGGAAUAUUGGACAAUGGGCGAAAGCCUGAUCCAGCCCUGCCGCGUGUGUGAAGAAGGCCUUUUGGUUGUAAAGCACUUUAAGCGAGGAGGAGGAGCUUCAGGUUAAUACCCUGGAUGCUUGGACGU